rnacentral:rRNA from 1 species
CAGUCGCCACGGUAAUACGGAGGGUGCAAGCGUUAAUCGGAAUUACUGGGCGUAAAGCGCACGCAGGCGGUUUGUUAAGUCAGAUGUGAAAUCCCCGAGCUUAACUUGGGAACUGCAUUUGAAACUGGCAAGCUAGAGUCUUGUAGAGGGGGGUAGAAUUCCAGGUGUAGCGGUGAAAUGCGUAGAGAUCUGGAGGAAUACCGGUGGCGAAGGCGGCCCCCUGGACAAAGACUGACGCUCAGGUGCGAAAGCGUGGGGAGCAAACAGGAUUAGAUACCCGUGUAGUCCCUGUCUCUUAUAC